rnacentral:lncRNA from 1 species
ACGAGCAUCAACUUUCAACUGAACUCUGGUGUCUCUCUGCCUUAAAUAUGUCUCUUGGAAACUGCUGAAUUAUAUUAAAAAAAAAAAGCUGAUGUUCGCCACUCCGCAGACACCUACUCAUUCGGGCGGAGCACAGAGGAGGGGCUAACCCCAGGAUGCUCACUGGCAGAGAAGACUUUUUGCUGAGAUUGUCUUGGCAUCCAAUGGAUCUAUAGCCAUGGCCAUCCAGGAGCCCUGGGGCACCUGUGGUAGGGUCAAGUGUGAGAUGGAGCACGGAAGUGUGAUGCUGGUUGUUGGAGUGGUACCUAGGCACUGAUGAAUGUUCCUCUACCCCAACAGCAAGACACAGCUUGCUCUCAAAUAUCAAUGACGGUAGGUUGAUGGUACUUGAUUCUCUUGGGAGGACAACAGCCACACACUAGGGAGGGUACAGUGGGGAAGGAAGAGUCUCGAGAGUCC